rnacentral:rRNA from 1 species
UUAAAAUCCUCGAUCUGUUAGUAUAUCUCAGCUGCAACUAUUGCUAGUCUUCUACCUGAUACCUAUAAACGGCUAGUCUUGCCGUGAUCUUACCACUUUCGUGAAAGAGUACUCAUCUUAAGGUGGGCUUCCUACUUAUAUGCUUUCAGCAGUUAUCCGCUCCGCACGUGGCUACCCAGCAUGUCCUGUUGGCACAAGAACUGGCACACCAGUGGUGCGUCCUUCCCGGUCCUCUCGUACUAGGGAAAGCUCCUUUCAAUACUCUAACGCCUGCACCGGAUAUGGACCGAACUGUCUCACGACGUUCUGAACCCAGCUCACGUACCGCUUUAAUGGGCGAACAGCCCAACCCUUGGGACGUACUACCGCCCCAGGAUGCGAUGAGCCGACAUCGAGGUGCCAAACCUCCCCGUCGAUGUGAACUCUUGGGGGAGAUCAGCCUGUUAUCCCUAGAGUAACUUUUAUCCGUUGAGCGACGGCCCUUCCACACGGCACCGUCGGAUCACUAAGGCCGACUUUCGUCUCUGCUCGACUUGUAGGUCUUGCAGUCAAGCUCUCUUAUGCCUUUACGCUCUACGGCUAAUUUCCGUCCAGCCUGAGAGAACCUUUGCACGCCUCCGUUACCUUUUAGGAGGCUACCGCCCCAGUAAAACUGCCCACCUGAAACUGUCAAGCGUCCUGAUUCAAGGAAACGCUAUUAGACUUCUAACUCUUCUAGAGUGGUAUCUCACUGAUGGCUCGCUUAAUCCCGAAAAAUUAAGGUCAACGCCUCCCACCUAAGCUGCGCAAGAAGAGCCCGAAACCAAUUCCAAGCUACAGUAAAGCUUCAUAGGGUCUUUCUGUCCAAGUGCAGGUAGACCGCAUCUUCACAGUCAAUUCUAUUUCACCGAGUCUCUCUCUGAGACAGUACCCAAAUCGUUACGCCUUUCGUGCGGGUCGGAACUUACCCGACAAGGAAUUUCGCUACCUUAGGACCGUUAUAGUUACGGCCGCCGUUCACCGGGGCUUCGGUCGCCAGCUUCGCAUACGCUAACCAACUUCCUUAACCUUCCGGCACUGGGCAGGCGUCAGCCCCCAUAUUUUGUCUUUCGACUUAGCGGAGACCUGUGUUUUUGGUAAACAGUCGCUUGGGCCUGGUCACUGCGGCCCCUUACGGGGCACCCCUUCUCCCGAAGUUACAGGGUCAUUUUGCCGAGUUCCUUAGAGAGAGUUAUCUCGCGCCCCUUAGUAUUCUCUACCUACCUACCUGUGUCGGUUUAAGGUACAGGUGCAUUUACCACGURUCAUUCGAGCUUUUCUUGGAAGUAUGACAUCAGUUGCUUGUGAUACCGUAGUAUCUCGUAUUCACAUCUUAGCUCAGGAUAUUUUUUAUUACAUCCCUCAACACCUUAAAUGCUUAAACCGGUAACCAACAUCCGGCCAACCUAGCCUUCUCCGUCCUUCGUGACUAAAUAAAAUACAGUACAGGAAUAUUAACCUGUUGUCCAUCGACUACGCCUUUCGGCCUCGCCUUAGGUCCUGACUCACCCUCCGCGGACGAGCCUUCCAGAGGAAACCUUAGGUUUUCGGGGUAUUGGAUUCUCACCAAUAUUUUCGUUACUCAAGCCGACAUUCUCACUUCCGCUUUGUCCACACCUGCUUACGCUGAUGCUUCAACCUACAACGGAACGCUCUCCUACCGAUAUUUCAUCUCACAGCUUCGGCAAACCGCUUAGUCCCGUUCAUUUUCGGCGCAAAAGCGCUUGACCAGUGAGCUAUUACGCACUCUUUAAAGGGUGGCUGCUUCUAGGCAAACCUCCUGGUUGUCUACGCACUAAUACAUCCUUUGCCACUUAGCGGUUAUUUAGGGGCCUUAGCUGGUGAUCUGGGCUGUUUCCCUCUCGACAAUGAAGCUUAUCCCCCACUGUCUCACUGGCUAAUUGAAGGCAUGUCUAGUAUUCAGAGUUUGCUACGAUUUGGUACCGAUUUCUCAGCCCGCACCGAAACAGUGCUUUACCCCUAGACAGCUCAUAAUUAACCGCUGCGCCUCAACGCAUUUCGGAGAGAUCCAGCUAGCUCCGAGUUCGAUUGGAAUUUCUCCCCUAAUCACAGCUCAUCCCCCGAUUUUUCAACACCGGUGGGUUCGGUCUUCCACUUCGUUUUACCAAAGCUUCAUCCUGGCCAUGAUUAGAUCACCCGGGUUCGGGUCUAUAAAUAGGGACAAACGCUUUAUUCAAACUUGCUUUCGCUAUGGCUCCGGCUCAAUAGCCUUAACCACGCCACUACCUAUAAGUCGCCGGCACAUUCUUCAACAGGCACGCAGUCAGCCUUUAAAUAGGCCUCCUACUGCUUGUAAGCUUAUGGUUUCAUGAUCUAUUUCACUCCCCUCCCGGGGUUCUUUUCACCUUUCCCUCACGGUACUAGUUCACUAUCGGUCACUUAGGAGUAUUUAGCCUUACGAGGUGGUCCUCGUUGAUUCACACGGAAUUCCACGUGCUCCAUGCUACUCGGGAUACAAACAAUAAUAGAUAAGUUUUCGGUUACAGGGCUGUCACCUUCUUUGGCGUCGCAUUCAACGACUUCACCUAACUGCACUAAAUAUUCAAGUCCGUCCCACAACACCGAAAAUCGGUUUAGGCUGUUCCCAUUUCGCUCGCCGCUACUAAGGGAAUCGCGUUUGCUUUAUUUUCCACCGGCUACUAAGAUGUUUCAGUUCACCGGGUUGUCUCUUUCUUACCUAUAAAUUCAGUAAGUAGUAUAAUAGGUUCCCCCAUUCGGGUACCUCCGGAUCAAAGCUUGUUUCCAGCUCCCCGAAGCUUAUCGUUGGUAACUACGCCCUUCAUCGUCUCUAAGUGCCAAGGUAUCCACCAUAAGCCCUUCUUCAUUUAA